GCAUGACAGUUAUAAAAAUGUGAGUUUGAAAGUGCCGAUGUGAUUUCUUCUUUACAUUUUUAGUGCAAAAAAAAGUGUUUUAAAGGAGCAAAUAAAAGAAAAUUUCUGCUCUACAAAAGACAUUAUGUAUUAUAUAUGUGUGUUAAAUUAUAUGCUGCAAUUAAUCUGGUAGACUCGAGGAACAAUUACAUCGAACCACGUUAUUAUAACGAACGUAUUUGUCGAUCGAAACACUUCACCAUUCCCCUUCUUCGAAACCGAGGGCGUCGUGGAACAAAAUUACGGAAAAAUGACGACACACGACGAACGUUCCUCCUCCGCUCGAGGAUGCUCGACUCGCGGGAUCGCGAGUGGCACGAAAGCACUUAACGGCGUUUUAUUAAUUACUGGUACGAGUUAAACGAAGGAGAAUCUAGCCUGGAUGGAGGCGAGAAGCAGCGGCCAUCUUGACGCCUGCGUGGAGAGGCGCCGCGGUGCUCUCUUGGGGCGUCGUGUCACGGGGGCGGAAAGGGGAUGUGCUCUGCGUGGAGAGGCCGAUUCGAAGGGAAAAGUAUUGACUGCGAGAAAAAGAAAAGCGACAAAUUUUGAUCCACGAUCGUUCAACCAAAUUUCUCCAUCUCCCUCCCUCCCUUCUUAAUUUUCAAAAAAAUAAAAGUUAUACAGAAAGAUUCGUA